rnacentral:rRNA from 1 species
AGAGUUUGAUCAUGGCUCAGAACGAACGCUGGCGCAUGCCUAACACAUGCAAGUCGAACGCCUGUCGCAAGACAGGAGUGGCGGACGGGUGAGUAACACGUGGGAAUCUACCCAGUAGCCUGGAAUAACUGCGGGAAACUGCAGCUAAUACCGGAUAAGCCCCGAGGGGGAAAGGAGCAAUCCACUAUUGGAGGAGCCCGCGCCUGAUUAGCUAGUUGGUGAGGUAACGGCUCACCAAGGCGAUGAUCAGUAGCUGGUCUGAGAGGACGACCAGCCACACUGGGACUGAGACACGGCCCAGACUCCUACGGGAGGCAGCAGUGGGGAAUAUUGGACAAUGGGGGAAACCCUGAUCCAGCAAUGCCGCGUGGGUGAUGAAGGCCUUCGGGUUGUAAAGCCCUUUUGGCGGGGACGAUGAUGACGGUACCCGCAGAAGAAGCCCCGGCUAACUUCGUGCCAGCAGCCGCGGUAAUACGAAGGGGGCUAGCGUUGUUCGGAAUUACUGGGCGUAAAGGGCGCGUAGGCGGCUUUGUUAGUUGGGCGUGAAAUGCCUGGGCUCAACCCAGGAAUUGCGCUCAAUACUUCGAGGCUAGAGUGUGGGAGAGGAUAGUGGAAUUCCCAGUGUAGAGGUGAAAUUCGUAGAUAUUGGGAAGAACACCGGUGGCGAAGGCGGCUAUCUGGACCACAACUGACGCUGAGGCGCGAAAGCGUGGGGAGCAAACAGGAUUAGAUACCCUAGUAGUCC